rnacentral:rRNA from 1 species
CCUACGGGUGGCAGCAGUGGGGGAUAUUGCACAAUGGGGGAAACCCUGAUGCAGCGACGCCGCGUGCGGGAAGACGGUCCUCUGGAUUGUAAACCACUGUCACCAGGGACGAAGAUGACGGGACCGGGGGAGGAAGCGCCGGCUAACUACGUGCCAGCAGCCGCGGUAAUAGGUAGGGAGCGAGGGUUGUCCGGAAUUACUGGGGGUAAAGGGAGCGGAGGCGGGGAUGCAAGUGGGGUGUCAAAACUACCGGCGCAACUGGUAGUCGCACUCCAAACUGCAGCUCUGGAGGGAAGGAGAGGCAGGCGGUCUUCCUCGUGUAGCGGUGACAUGCGUAGAUCUUAGGCG